CAACCCCUAAGCACAGCUUAUUGUUGGGAAUCUACGUUUGUAGUUCCUCAAAGACAUUGGCGGAGUGGCAGCAGUCCUCUGAGCGUAGUAAUUUUUUAUCUCGCUUUUGUUAGGCGCUGCCUCCCCGGCCGUUAAACACCCCAUUUUUUCU
rnacentral:misc_RNA from 1 species